rnacentral:lncRNA from 1 species
AUAUAGAGAUAUAUAUUUUAUAAUGGGAGGGGGGAAUGGCACCUCCUGGGACUGGCAGGGCUGGGAGGUGUGCUGUCAAGCACAUGGUCCCAUGUUCGCAUCCCUAGAAAGAUAGGGCCUAUGGUGAUAGGCGCUAUAUAAAUACAUAGAUAGGGUCAUGUAUAAGAAAUAUUAUGUCGUGGGGAGUGGGGGAAGGAGGCUUAGAAGGCUGAGUCUCGGGCCCCACUGCAGACAAGCCCCACACCAAUCAAUCAGUCCCACACGCACACACAGGAACAUGUUUCUAUACCGAUGCAUAACAAAUGCACGUGCACACACACACACACACACACACACAGCCAGGGAGCUCCCAGUGCUCUUCUCCCCAGGAUUCAGGACUUUGCGGAGUCGGCCCUGCAGCUCUUUACCUCUGUUGCCCUGUUUGCAGGUAGACUGUCAAUCCCAGAAGUUGCUAGGUGCUGAAGACAGGAAAAGGAGGAGGUUUUCUUUUAGCAGGUGCUCUCCUCUAGCAGGUAGCGUUCUAUCUCUUUUGCCCCUGGUGAUGUCAAAAGAUUCUUCUGUUAGCAACCUGUGACACUGACCUGCAACCCUAGGCACCAGUCAAGUCAGCCCUCAGCUCCCCCUACCUAUUCUCCCCCGUCCAAAAUGAAUCUGACGUCCAGGGCUGUCUUGGCCAGGGGGCUUCCAUUGGAAAGAAAUGGGACAGCAAACCUCAUCUUUGGAAUAAAGCAAAUUAGUAAUUUGUUAAAAAAAAAAAUUAACCAAGCUUUGAAUCCCUGCUCAUUGCUCAGGAGUAAGCUCACAGCUGGUGGCCAUGGUCUCCCACUCCUUUUAGGGGGUGCUUAGUCCCACACCCCAAGCUACUCAUUUCCUUAUCAGAUUGGUUUUUAAGAUCAUACCCAGUUGCUUCCUGCCAGCUCCAUGUCGUGAUGGCAGGUGGUGACGGUGGGCUCCCCGGGGGCUGGAGCAGCUGGUGGGGGGGGGGUGUUCCCUCUGCCCCUCCCUCAUUGGAGUCUGUACCCAACUGUGGUGCUCACCCUGACCCCCUCCUCCAGCCAGGUUCCAUCUUCCCGGCCCGGAGCCCACCAGCACAACUCUGGAGGGCGGGGGAGGAGGGCUGCGCAGACAGUCCAAGGUGCUCCCUCCCCUGGUGGCGGCCGAUGCUAAGGUCUUCCCAGCCCGUGUCAGGACUGUCUCUUCCUCUGCGGACCUUCUGCUCUGCUAGGCUAUGUGUCUGUGUGCAGGAGUUUGCUUUUCCCAGUGGCCCAAGUUCCAUCCAGGGAGCUUGCAUGGGGAAGAAACUUGGUAGCCAAGAGACCCAGCUGAGCGGGCCUUUGGUUGGCCACCACCUGUUCACCGCUGGCCCUCGACAGUGGAGUCCAGGGGAGAGGGACAGACAAGCAGGUCAGAAGCAGUGA